GAACCAUGCUGGACGUAAACGACGGUGUGCCGUCCACUGCGCGUGCGGCUUGUCUUUCCAUUUCGUGCUUGCGGUUACCAAUGUGCGAUUCCCAUCCAGGCGGUGGCCGCAAUUAUGGAAUCUCUCACCGCCCCUUUCCCCUCCCUAACCCACUCGACUGCGUGCAAAACACACCGGUGUAAGAGAGUGCUACUUCAUGCUUGAACGCAGGUGUUUUGACUUUCUCUGAAGUGUCGAGGCAGCUGGCAUGCGAAUGGAAGAGGAACGCGUCUGCAUGAGUAUUUCCUACAUUCUUUCACGAUGCUGUUGUAUUGCGGGUCGUGAUGCAACUUUAAUAAAAGGGACUGGUAGACUCACUCCUCACCGCUAGAAACCAUAUCGCAGGCUCCUAUUUUCCGUGAACAGGUGGUGCAUUUUGUUCGGGGGUAGAGACGAAGAUGUGUUCAGGCCACAGCAGACCCCGAAUCGAGAGAACGUUCAUUUGUUCUUAUUUACUACAGCUGCGGUGCAACAGUACCUCUUCUCGGCACUCCUGCUCGCUAAGGGACGGCGCGCGCCUCAUCCGAGCGCGAUGAUCCGACAGGAGCAUCCGAAAAUAACCCCUUUUGAAAGGCGACGUUGUGCCAGGAGACACCUGAGCAGACACCUCAGUCGUCCAACAAGGCUUGCUCGUUGCAUUUUCAUCGAUAGAACCCGUUUUCAAGAAGGCAAUGGCUGGGCCAACGGCGAACGCAGGAGCUCACUGCCGGCAUACACCCUACAGCCGAUCACUGGACACUCCCCACGAAAGGUACCGUUUUGAAGCGCAGGUGUUCGCUUCGCAAUUUCAAGAGGUGGGCACAAGCAGAAACUGCGGGAACUUUCAUCAGCCUUGUUGAGGGGAAACGGGCCCGCGGCGCAGCGAAGGUGGUGCACUGGUGGGGAACUUACCAACCCAGCGGCUUCCUGCACUGGCAGAACGUCGAUGCUUCACUGCAGGCUAGGGAGUACGGCAAGGGGAAGGGGGGCUUCACCCGUUGGGGCCGCGCUCAACUGCUUUUUUCGACAAGUUUUAGCGUCUCGGGUGUCGCCGGAGAACAUCCAUAAAUGCACCGAUUCGCACUAGUAUGUGUCGGCUGAUGUGCAUUACUCCUGUUAACUGGUCUUUUAAAACUACUUGGUUGCAGCUGAUGCGAGGACAGCUGAGUAGGAAGUCAAACAGCUCAUGCUCGCGGGUCGGCUAACGCCGGUAGCAGUUUGCCGCUCUCAUGCUGACGGAAGCCCGUUUGCUGAAGUGGUGAUGCUGAAACUAGGCCGAUAGUGCAAAGGAUGUGAAUCUUGGUAACGGGGGUCAAUUCGACGACAGCGCUUGUGCUGUCAGUCGUGUUACCAUGUGCCACGGCAGCACUUGCUGAGUGCCUCAUUGGUCCACUAGUGGAAAGCCACGGUGAAGAUAAUUUGGACUAUACUGAAAAGGUUGACAGUGUAAGGAUCUCUUCACAUACGCCGCCGCGAUCUUUGGCCUGCAGCUCCACCUGAAAACGAAAGACACUUCUCCUAACUUGAUCUUUUCCAUUCUCAUUUUCAACGGGUGCCGCCUUGGCACUACUCCCAUUGUUGUUUCGCUUUGUCUGGUUUCGACUAUUCAGCCUGAGGCGAAUGCCCAUUUGCGGGAGGCCCCCAGUUGGCGAGGCGUCUGCCUUCUCAACAUUGAAUGAAAGGACGUAUGCAAUCUUGGGACGUGUGAUUUGUUGCAGGUACUGUGGCAGAGGGGUACCUCUCGGACGGGCUUAUCAUGAGACUGCGGCUGUGAAGCCAGGCUUUACGGCAACACUCGCAUUUUGGUUGUUUUUUUUUCUUUGGACUCUGUACAGGUCACGACCAUGUGUAGUACCUUUUCCUGGCUUGGAAAUUCUUCAAGUCCACAU
rnacentral:lncRNA from 1 species